rnacentral:Y_RNA from 1 species
ACGGCGAAUGCCCGAAGGACUACAUGGAUCUGACGGUCGCGGGUUCGAUCCCCGCCAGGCCCAACCGCGCGAGCGGGUAAGCCUGUAGCUCAGUAGGUAGAGCAUCAGGAAAAUGUUUCUUCACUACUUUGUCGCCGUUCU